UGCAAGUGCUGCCCUACUUGGAACACGAAGGACUGUUAUGUAGAUACGGAUAUCUUCUUAAUGUACCAAAACCCCAUAGCCCACUGUCCACCUCUCCCUCCCACACUUUAGUUUGGUUGGAGCAGAAGAGUCUGAAAUUUACUAUCAAACAAGCUCGGGCUUAGAGUUUUAUGAUGGGCAGCUUCUAUGUGGAAAGAAAAACAAGACAGUGAAUGAGCAAAGAACAAGGCAGGAUAACUGCCAGAGGAGGCUGGCUCGGAGCAAAAGGAAACUUCUCAGACAGUGGAGUUUCAUUGUUGAUCUCUUCCACUAACUGAUCAAAACCCAGCCUGACUUGCCGGGAAGAAAGCCAGAAUUUUACGGCAGAUGAACCUUUGACUUCAGCAACCUGAUCUACAGGUCUUCCUCUGCUGACGACCCACUCCUGUGUAUCCUACGGCAAGAAGUGUGGUGAUGGCUUCUCCUUAGAACACUGUUCACCUCAUGCUGCUAGAGAGAGGUCAAACUUCUGGAGAGCUAAGUAAUUACCUGGCAUCAGUGAGAAAUCAGAGAUCAAAUAAAGCAGUAUUCAAAAAAUAG